rnacentral:rRNA from 1 species
UCAAGCGAGAAAGAGCACAGGGCGGAUGCCUUGGCACUAGGAGCCGAAGAAGGACGUGACAAGCUGCGAUAAGCUGCGGGCAGGAGCAAAUAUCCGAAAAUCCGCAGAUUUCCGAAUGCGGGAACGCACCUAUGGUAAUGCAUAGGUAUCCUAUGAUGAAUAAAAUAGUCAUAGAGAGGGAAACCCGGGGAACUGAAACAUCUAAGUACCCGGAGGAGAAGAAAGAAACAUCGAUUUCCUAAGUAGCGGCGAGCGAACGGGAAAGAGCCCAAACCACGCUUUUGUGUGGGGUUGAGGACACUCACAACGCAUGGAAUAUGUAGCCGAAGCGGACUGGAAAGUCCUGACGCAGAGGGUAAAAUCCCCGUAGGCGAAACGUAAGAAAUGCAGAGUGUAUCCAGAGUAGGACCGGACACGUGAAACCCGGUCUGAAGCAGGGGGGCCCACCCCCCAAGGCUAAAUACUACCUAGUGACCGAUAGCGAACAGUACCGUGAGGGAAAGGUGAAAAGAACCCCGGGAGGGGAGUGAAACAGAACCUGAAACCUUGUGCUUACAAGCAGUGGGAGCGUAAGUGACCGCGUACUUUUUGUAGAACGGGCCAACGAGUUAUGGUAUGUAGCGAGGUUAAGAAGCUGGAGCUUCGGAGCCGUAGGGAAACCGAGUCUUAACCGGCGAAUAGUUGCAUGCUGUAGACCCGAAACCGGGUGACCUAUCCAUGUGCAGGUUGAAGCGAGAGUAAAAUCUCGUGGAGGACCGAACUUAUGUCUGUUGAAAAAGGCUAGGAUGACGUGUGGAUAGCGGUGAAAUUCCAAUCGAACCCGGAUAUAGCUGGUUCUCCUCGAAAUAGCUUUAGGGCUAGCCUCGAGUCAAGAUACACGGAGGUAGAGCACUGAAUGUUCUAGGGGCCUUCACCGGUUACCGAAAACUAUCAAACUCCGAAUGCCGUGCAAUCAUACUCGGGAGUCAGACUACGAGUGAUAAGAUCCGUGGUCGAAAGGGAAACAGCCCAGACCUACAGCUAAGGUCCCAAAUUACAGAUUAAGUGGAGAAGGAUGUGGAGCUGCAUAAACAGCUAGGAUGUUGGCUUAGAAGCAGCCACUCAUUUAAAGAGUGCGUAAUAGCUCACUAGUCGAGUGGCUCUGCGCCGAAGAUAAACGGGGCUAAAAUCUGUAACCGAAGCUUAGGAUACUUUUAAGUAUGGUAGAGGAGCAUCGUAUACGGGCAGAAGCUGUGCUGAAAGGCAUGGUGGACUGUAUAGGAGAGAGAAUGUUGGCAUGAGUAGCGUAAGGCAGGUGAGAAUCCUGUCCGCCGAAAAUCUAAGGUUUCCUGAGGAAGGUUCGUCCUCUCAGGGUUAGUCGGGACCUAAGCCGAGAGCGAAAGCUGUAGGCGAUGGACAACAGGUUGAGAUUCCUGUACCACCGAAAGUUGAUUGAACGAAGUGGGGACACAGAAGGAUAAGCUGAGCGCGCCGCUGGUAGAGCGCGUCUAAGCACCAAGGGAGAUGGCCAAGGCAAAUCCGGGCUGUCAAUUCUGAGGUGUAAUGGGGAGGGAAAAUAAGUACCGAAGCAGCUGAUUUCACGCUGUCAAGAAAAGCCGCUAGUGAGACCGUAGGUGCCCGUACCGCAAACCGACACAGGUAGAUGAGGAGAGAAUCCUAAGGUGAGCGAGAGAACUAUUGUUAAGGAACUCGGCAAAAUAACCCCGUAACUUCGGGAGAAGGGGUGCCUGCGAAAGCAGGCCGCAGUGAAAAGGCCCAGGCGACUGUUUACCAAAAACACAGGUCUCUGCAAAAGCGAAAGCUGAAGUAUAGGGGCUGACGCCUGCCCGGUGCUGGAAGGUUAAGGGGAAGUGUUAGGGCAACCGAAGCACAGAACUUAAGCCCCAGUAAACGGCGGCCGUAACUAUAACGGUCCUAAGGUAGCGAAAUUCCUUGUCAGGUAAGUUCUGACCCGCACGAAAGGCGUAACGAUCUGGGC